rnacentral:lncRNA from 1 species
AGUCCUUUGUGAUAUGCACUUCAUCUUUCCUGUGCUUUCAGAACUCUGGGGGCCAGGAAUCAUAAUUAUAAUUGUGCACUUGGGAGUUAGAGAAUCUUACAGCUCUUAAAGUAUCUACCUCUUUCCAUCUUGACUCAAACUUGUGACAAUUUCUCUUCUACAAAGCUUCCUCCUGUUCCACCUGGAAGAUGCUUGACACAGUCUCCGGGAGCUCCUCAUAAAUGCUCGGCUGGAGAAAAAGGAAAGAACAAAAGGUUCAUCUCAUCAGUCCUCCACGGCCUUCAGUUCUACAGCGUAUUCCAUCCAGUGACAGAAUGGUACAAACCUGAUGGCACUGGGCAGCAGAAUUCUACUUGCAGGCACAGGUCUUCUUUCCCCACAGCACACAGAAAUGGAAUGGGAGACCAGCAGGAGGGGCCGGGAAGACAGGAAGAUCACAAGAACUAAAAGUAUAUAUAAAAACGCCAUGAGGGGGUCCAUGGCUUCAUACGCUAAUUCUCAAAAUAACUCAUAGGUAAGGGGAAAGCAAGCCUGCUCCCCUGAAACUUUUUCUAGCAGCAGCUCUGAUGUAGUCUGUGACCUGAUCCUCUGCCAAUGCUCAAUCCAAUCGGCUAAUAAAUGGACUCUAAGAGACAGUUGUGAAGUGACGGUUCCCUACAACUCUCCGAGACAAUUCUGCCUGUGCCUGGACUGCUCACGAUGGGCACAUGGUCACGUGGUACAGCUACAGGAGCUACCGUGGAAUAAGAACAAUAGAAAAGAGGGUCUUCUAGCUCUCAGGUUUCAAGGGAACCUGGCAGAACGGAAGGAAAGGGAGAAGAAAAAUCACUACUGAUUUCAGAUGGGAGAGUGAUGAGUUUGGGUCAUCCUUUUGCACUUCCUCGCCUCUCUGAACUGAAUUUCUUGGCCAGAGUAAACUCGCAGGGAAGUAUUACAUGCAAGGUGCUAUUGGGAUGAGCACCAGUGUUUCUACCCAGCGCUCAGGGUAAGUCCAAAUAGAGAAACAACAGGGAGAUGUAUUCAUUAAGAAUGGAAAACAGAAAUGACCUAGGACCUGACCUAGGACCAUUUCCCAUGGAGAAUCUAAAAGCUGCAAGCUUCCGGGGAAGAAAUGGACAAGUGUGUAGCAUGCCAAGGCACUGGAGCAGCGUGUGAUUCUCAGAGCACUUACAAGGCCCGGCUGGCACAGCCUGAGAAUGACAAAUCACUUCUAUGUGCCCCACAGGUAGAUACAGAUUAGAAUGUUUUGGACAAAGAUAGAUGCCUCAGCAGAAGUGCUCAGUAUGGCCUAUGACACAGGGAAAAUGUACCCCAAUAUCUAGUCAACAUACCUACUUGGGAGUAUACUUAAUAUGAACACAGACUAUUUUAUAAAUUAACUGCACCUAAUAAUAAUAAUAACAAUAAUAAUAAUAAGCAAAAACAAAAAAUCAGUCUUCCAUCACAUCGGCAUAGUUUUCACAUGUCCUGUGUGAUAGUUUGUAUAUGCUUGGCCCAGAGAGUGGCACUAUUAGAAGGUGUGACCCUGUUAGAGUUUGUGUGUCACUGUGGGUGUGGCUUUAAGACCCUUAUCCUAGCUGCCUGGAAGCCAGUGUUCUGCCAGCAGUCUUCAGAUGAAGAUGUAGAACUCUCAGCUCCUCUUGUACCAUGCUUCUCUGGAUGUCGCCAUGUUCCUGACUUGAUGAUACUGGACUGAACCUCUGAACCUGUAAGCCAGCCCCAGUUAAAUGUUGUUCUUAUAAGAGUUGCUUUAGGUCACUGUGUCUGUUCAAAGCAGAAAAAAACCCUAAUUAAGGCAUCCUGGAGGACAUGACAGUAAAAUAUAAUAGUUUAUGAAUAUAUAAGGCCAGAAUCUAAUACCAUUUUAUAUAUAUAUAUAUAUAUAUAAACACAAAAGAUUUCCCCAUUUAACCACUGUAUUAUUAUCCAGGGAUGGCACUACUAUGCCAGUUGUAGCCUCUCUGUUUUAUUAUUAUCAUUGUUAUUAUUAUUUAUACAAGUACAUUGUAGCUGUCUUCAGACACACACUAGAAGAGUGCAUCAGAUCCCAUUACAGAUGGUCGUGAGCCACCAUGUGGCUGCUGGGAAUUGAAUGCAAGACCUUUCAGAAGAGCAGUCAGUGCUCUUAACCACUGAGCCAUCUCUCCAGGCCUGUAGCCUCUCUGUUAACAGCACUUUUAUCACCAAGCUCAUCUGUCUCUCUCUCUGCAAUUACACAAAUGUACACACUGAAUAAAGAAGCCCAUUCUGUAAAUGGAGCACCAGGCAUACUGGGAUUAGCAGCCAAAUGAAACAGAUGAAUGGAUUUUUGUUAAUAAGGAAGAGGUGUUAUUAUUGUUAGUUGAUGCGAUUUUCAACAAAAUGUUAAUAAUUUUUUCAACAACUACACACUGAAGCUAUUCACUUCAUUUUGAAUAGCCUGCUCUUCCUUCUAAAACUGCCCAUGAAGGUAUAUUUCUCCAUGUCUUCUUGUAUUGCCUUUUUUUUCCAAUCCUUCCUGUACUGUUAUUGUCUAGUAAUAAGUUAUUUUUCUUUCCAGAAACUGAUUGUGUCCUGAUGUGUUAAGAUUCUAACCUAUGAGACUUGUUUGUAUUUUAAGGCACUUUGUCACCCUGUCCCAUGUCAAUAUUGCUUUGAUGUUCCAUUUAAGCAGAGUAUCAUUUGUUCCAUUUCAAGAGUCCUUAACUGGUCUUAGCAUAUGUGGCUGUUUCUCCUGCUGCACACACAUUAGUCUGACGCUGGUAUCCUGUUGUAUGUUCUGCUGCUGACUGCAUUGCCUGCUUUGUUCUUUCAUUCUCUGGUCCUUCUGGCACACUACGGUUCCUUACAUUCAUGAUUCAGAAUGUAUCAAUAGAUAAAAGCUUGUGACAACUGCAUUAUGGAAUUUCAUUACAAAUCAUGAUCGUUUUCCCGGUAUGUUACAAAUAAGUCAUAUUAAUCUUGACAUCACUAUACAGACAAAAAAAUAUAACUAUGAAUUUUAUUUCAUGACAGUAAAUAGGAUAAAAUAUAUCAAAUAAGAAGAAAAGGCUAGACUAGCUACCUCGGAGAUGUCAUCUCACCAUGCAAAGUCCUCCAUUCCUUAAAUACCACAGGACAGUUCUGCCUUGGGACUCUGCAGUUGCCCUUGCUGCACCUGGAACAAUCCUCAUCUACUCAUGAACCACAGGCUGGCCUCCAUGUUUCCUUCAGACAGGCCCCGGAGACUCAGUCUGUGGCUUCCUGCUAGCAAGAAUGCAGAUGUGAUAGAUUACCUGUGGUAGCCAUACUGGACCUCAAGAUGACCGUGGGAACGAGGAUCACGGGAGGCGGGGCUCUGAGCUGACAGGAAUCUAGACCUUGGCCUGCCAGAUGCCAUAUCUCUCCUGCACUACCUUUAUAAGACAUUUUUUUUUUGAACGAGGAAGAAAUAAACUUUGAUGUAGUCUAAGCCACUGUCUCUGCGCCCCAGACGACGGCUUGGCAGCCCAGGACACGUGCCCCUUCUUCUCCCCACUGCCGCCUGCUGUGCCCGGGCGUUCUUCCUUCUCCUGGUCUUCAUAACGUGCCUUCAAAGUCGGCCUGGCGGCCAGUCUCUGCCUGAGUUGCUCAUAAUCCUUCUUGGUUUUCUGGCGAAUCUUCUCAAGCUCUUUGAACAUGUAUGAUUCCUCUCUGGCUGUCAGUCCGAAGUGCUUUGGGAUGGUGGACAUCUUGACAAACUGGACCUGUAAAAUACGCACACACACACACACCCGAAAAAAAGCGGCCCUUGUGUGGUGCCCACAGUCCUAAGUGAAUAUGGGGAUCCUGAAGGCACUGAGAUCCUUACUGAACCCUAGGAGGAACUGCUGUGGAAGACCCCUGAGAGACUUACCUGUGGAUGCUGGAAGGAGGGAGAGAGCAAGGGAGCCAGAAAACAGAGUACAUGUGGCUCCCCAAGAGCCAAGAGCAGGAGUUAAAGGCACAGAACUAAACCUAUGAAAAUAACUGACAGAAAAGAAUGGAUGGGGGCACCCAGGAGGCAGUGACGAGACAGUGGGGAGAGAGCCUCUGAACACCACUGGAUUCUGCAGGUUUGACUAUUCAGCUAGAGAACAUAUGUACUAAGGAACCACUUAGAAUGUAAGUGUUCUCCAAAGGACUUGAAUGUAAAAAUGCAUAGAUAUGGCAAAUGCGCGCAGUUAAAACAUAAUGGUGACAAUUUGCUCAGAGGGUGACCAGCUGCAAGUAGCUGAGAAUCAUUAAGUGGCAGGAGGCACAGAGGAGAGCUGCUGUGACACCUGCUCUUGCAAUACAGCCCUGAGACGCCUGGACCCUGCUGUGUAUACAGGCUGGCCUUCGGGUGAUCUUCCUGCCUUGGCUUGCCAAGCGCUGGGGU